rnacentral:misc_RNA from 1 species
GAACGCACAUUGCGCCCCGUGGUAUUCCGCGGGGCAUGCCUGUUCGAGCGUCAUUACAACCCUCAAGCUCUGCUUGGUGUUGGGUCCCGCCCGCUGCGGCCGGCCCUAAACCCAGUGGCGGUGCCGUCUGGCCCUAAGCGUAGUACUUCUCUCGCUCCAGGGUCCCGGCGGUGGCCUGCCAGAACCCCACACUCUUAUGGUUGACCUCGGAUCAGGUAGGGAUACCCGCUGAACUUAAG